rnacentral:rRNA from 1 species
UUGGAAAUUUCCGCCAUUGGCCAAAAGCCGGAGGAAUAACCGCGUGUGGAGGGAGAAAGCCUCUGGGGUUGAAACCUUCUUUUUUCAAGAAGGUUUAAGACGGUACUUGAGGAAUCAGCAUCGGCUAACUCCGUGCCAGCAGUCGCGGUAAUACGGAGGAUGCAAGCGUUAUCCGGAAUAAUUGGGCGUAAAGCGUUCGUAGGUGGUUUUGUAAGUCUGCUGUUAAAGCGUGUAGCUCAACUACAUAUAGGCAGUGGAAACUUCAAGACUUGAGUGCGUUCGGGGUAGAGGGAAUUCCUGGUGUAGCGGUGAAAUGCGUAAGAGAUCAGGAAGAACACCGGUGGCGAAGGCUCUCCUACUAGACCGCCCCUGACACUGAGGGACGAAAGCUAGGGGAGCGAAUGGGAUUAGAUACCUCAGUAGUCCUAGCUGUAAACGAUUGGAUAGCUAGACGUUGUCUGU